rnacentral:sRNA from 1 species
GAUGCUUGGACUAAGGCAGAAACUGACCACCUCUUUGACCUCAGCCGCCGCUUUGACCUGCGUUUUGUUGUUAUCCAUGACCGGUAUGAUCACCAGCAGUUCAAGAAGCGUUCUGUGGAAGACCUGAAGGAGCGGUACUACCACAUCUGUGCUAAGCUUGCCAACGUGCGGGCUGUGCCAGGCACAGACCUUAAGAUACCAGUAUUUGAUGCUGGGCACGAACGACGGCGGAAGGAACAGCUUGAGCGUCUCUACAACCGGACCCCAGAGCAGGUGGCAGAGGAGGAGUACCUGCUACAGGAGCUGCGCAAGAUUGAGGCCCGGAAGAAGGAGCGGGAGAAACGCAGCCAGGACCUGCAGAAGCUGAUCACAGCGGCAGACACCACUGCAGAGCAGCGGCGCACGGAACGCAAGGCCCCCAAGAAGAAGCUACCCCAGAAAAAGGAGGCUGAGAAGCCGGCUGUUCCUGAGACUGCAGGCAUCAAGUUUCCAGACUUCAAGUCUGCAGGUGUCACGCUGCGGAGCCAACGGGCUUAGCUUGCCAGCUUUCAUUGCAGAUGAAGCUGCCAAGCUCUGUGGGAC